GACCGCUUAGGUGACCUAGUGGUUAGAGCGUCCGCUUAAGAAUGCGGGAGGUCGCGGCUUCGAACCCCGGUUGAGUCA